UUAAUUCGUGAAUAGCAAUUAGUAAUUUGAAUAUUGUGUUCAUUAAUUCGUGAUUAGUAAUUUGAAUAUUUUGUGUUCACAAAUUUAUGAAUAGUUAUUUGAGUCUUCAGUGUUGACGAAUUUAUGAUUAGUUAUUAGAAUAUUUUUAGUGGAUGAAUUUGUUAUUAGUUAUUUUAAUAUUUUGAGUUCGUGAAUUUGUAACUAGAUAUUGAAUAUUUUUUGUUCCUGAAAGUUAUUCAAAUAUUUUUUGUUCAUGAAUGUGAUUAUAAAUUUGUAAUCAAUAUAUUCUUUUUUAAUAGAUUAAAAAAUAAUCUCUUUGUUCUAAGGUUUAGGGUUUGUGAAGCCUAGAGUGUCGGAAACGGGACGCCACCAGCUGCUGCAUGCUCUAAUCAAAAGAAAAAAAGAGGAAUCAUAAAUAGUGACCAUCUUCAAAGGCUUCAGCCUUUUCUGAUCAUAAAAACAAUAUUUUGAUCACAAAUUAAAAAAAAAAAAUGUUCCAACCAGACAAAGCAUGACAUUUUAUUUUUCAAAAUUAUUAUGUCAAAAAUUAAAACAUAGCAUGUAUCCCCGAUGAUACUACAAGAACACGUAUGGUUCAUGUAUUUUAACGGCAUAAAGGACAAAAAAUGAAUUUAGUCAUCUUCCGACACAAUCUUGGCAAUGAAAAACCAAUUUGCUUUAUAGAUGACGGUAUUUUCCACUGUAAAGAACAAUCAUAAUAUAAACUUUAAAAAAUUCUAGAGUUUCAGUAAUUCAUUCAUUCGUCAAUUCAAACCCUCUAUUUCAAAAUCCUUAGCUUCGAUGAAAUCCUAAAAUAAAAACACUGCAAUAGAUCAGUGACAAAACUCGAUAGAAACAAUAAAAUACAGAAAGUGUAACGACUUGUUCGAGGCCAUAAUCAAAACAAAGUGAAUCUGAAAGGCACGGAGAAUCGCAAUUGUUUUCGCCAACCUUCAAUGCAAGUUGCGUCAAUUUCAGAAAAUACACGCACUUGCUCUGCAAAUUGGCUUUCUUUUCAGGAAAAACUUGAAAAUAAUAGAAUAAGAAACACUACAAUACUUACAUACUGAUGAGAAUUGGAAAUCAAACAGCAGAAGCCUCUAACCCAAUUUCGAAGACGGAACAGAAGUAAGAUAUGAUUGAGAUUUGUGGUGCCUCCCUUUUAUAGAUACCUAAAUGGAACGGUAAACCCUAAUUUCCUACUGCGGCGCGGCCAGGGUUGUUAUAGGAUUUGGGUUUCAUGUUACGCCCACCAUGGCUCAUUGGGCUUUAGUUC
rnacentral:lncRNA from 1 species